rnacentral:tRNA from 1 species
AGUUAUUUAGCUUAUAAUUUAUAAAGUAUAUAUUUUGAAAAUAUAAGAAAGACUUAAAUUAAUAACUU